rnacentral:rRNA from 1 species
UACGUAGGGUGCAAGCGUUGUCCGGAAUUAUUGGGCGUAAAGAGCUCGUAGGCGGUCUGUCGCGUCGGCUGUGAAAACCCGGAGCUCAACUCCGGGCCUGCAGUCGAUACGGGCAAACUGGAGUGUUGCAGGGGAGACUGGAAUUCCUGGUGUAGCGGUGAAAUGCGCAGAUAUCAGGAGGAACACCGGUGGCGAAGGCGGAUCUCUGGGCCUUACCUGACGCUGAGGCGCGAAAGCUAGGGGAGCAAACAGG